rnacentral:lncRNA from 1 species
AACUUACUGAAACCAUUCUACCAGCAAAAUAGUUUCAGAUUACAACUCUCUGAAACCAUUGUACCAGAUAAAUGGUUUCAGAAGCAAAAACAAUUAAUAAAUUACUCACUGGAACCAUUCUACCAGUAAAAUGGUUUCAGAAUACAACUAUGUGCAAUCAUUCUACAAGCUAAAUGGUUUCAGAAGCAAAUGACUAAUAAUCAACUUACUGAAACCAUUCUACCAGCAAAAUGGUUUCAGAUUACAACUCUCUGAAACCAUUGUACCAGAUAAAUGGUUUCAGAAGCAAACACAAUUAAUAAAAUUACUCAUUGAAACCAUUCAACCAGUAAAAUGGUUUCAGAAUACAACUAUGUGCAACCAUUCUACCAAUAAAAUGGUUUCAGAAGCAAACAUUAGUUUUUAAUUACCGUUUUAUCUCAUUUAAUUAACUAAAAAUAGUUUCAAGUCUCCAAAAAUUUCAUAAAAUACACCAAAAGUUCCAGAAUAUUAUCUA